GUGCUCACUUCAGCAGCAAAUAUACUAAAAUCGGAAUCAUACAGAAGAGAUUAGCAUGGCUCCUGCACAAGGAUGACAUGCAAACUCGUGAAGCAUUCCAUAUUUUU